rnacentral:rRNA from 1 species
GCAUGUGGCCUUACCACUGUGAACAUACCUGAUCUCCUCUGAUCUCUGAAGCCAACAGGUUCAGCCUGGUUAGUGCUUGGAUGGGAAACCACUUGGGAAUACUGAGUGCUGUAGCCU